rnacentral:tRNA from 1 species
GGAAAGGGUAGCGCAGCCUGGUAGCGCACCUCUUUCGAGACGAGGGACCGCGGGUUCGAGCCUGCCUUGGCACCA